rnacentral:rRNA from 1 species
GGGUCAGUAGGUUGGUCGUGCCACCGGUACGUACUGGUCUAACUGAUUCCUCCUUCCUGAAGAACCGUAAUGCCAUUAAUUUGGUGUUGCGGGGAAACAGGACCGUUACUUUGAAAAAAUUAGAGUGUUUAAAGCAAGCUAACGCCUGAAUACAUUAGCAUGGAAUAAUGAAAUAGGACGAUCGAUCCUAUUUUGUUGGUUUCUAGGAUUGACGUA